CCAGACUCCUACGGGAGGCAGCAGUGGGGAAUAUUGCACAAUGGGGGGAACCCUGAUGCAGCGACGCCGCGUGGGUGAAGGAGUAUUUCGGUAUGUAAAGCCCUAUCAGCAGGGAAGAACAAUGACGGUACCUGACUAAGAAGCACCGGCUAAAUACGUGCCAGCAGCCGCGGUAAUACGUAUGGUGCAAGCGUUAUCCGGAUUUACUGGGUGUAAAGGGAGCGUAGACGGCAUGGCAAGUCAGAUGUGAAAGCCCGGGGCUCAACCCCGGGACUGCAUUUGAAACUGUCAGGCUGGAGUGCAGGAGAGGUAAGUGGAAUUCCUGGUGUAGCGGUGAAAUGCGUAGAUAUCAGGAGGAACACCGGUGGCGAAGGCGGCCUGCUGGACUGCGACUGACGUUGAGGCCCGAAAGCGUGGGGAGCAAACAGGAUUAGAUACCCCAGUAU
rnacentral:rRNA from 1 species